CCUUCAGGGAAAUUAAAACCCCCAUGGCGCCUUCUACUUAGAGAUCUCUUGCUCAUUCAGAUUCAGCUCUUUGAUUGCCUUUGCGCCUUUCUAUUCCAUAUCUGUGAAUGCUCACUGGGCCUUCCCUCCAUGGCCCAGAUGAGCCAGAGGCAGAGGUGGCUGGGAGGUAAGUCCCUUUCAUAGCUCUGCAUGACUCUCCUGGUUACUCUUCAGCCCAUGCUGGUACUGGGGAACGUGGGACAUGGUACAGAGGGUGUCUAUUCCUGGUUCAUUCUGUUAGUCUCAUGGACAGACCGUCAUCACAAGGGUUUGCAUCGUGGCACAUCAAGAAGGUGUGAAAUGGUCCUCGGGAUCCUUUCCUGUGGAGCAGCAGACAGCUUUUUACCUCUGUUGGGGUUCAGGUCAGUUUCUCAGACACCCAGACAUUUCCCUCCUUUACACAUGCCAGUUGCUUUCAGGAAGCUGUGUUUUCUAUGCUCUUCUAAGACAGAACAAUAACUGCCCUCUCCCCAAAAAAGGAACAAGGAAAAAAAAAACCAAUUUAGAAGUGCUUAAGUGCUUAAUGUAAGCUCUUUAUUUAUGACUCAUAAUGUGGUUGAGAAGAAUCCUUCUGAUUUUAGUACUGUUUCCAUAAAAGUAGUUUGAACUGUACAGAGUACUACAAUUCAGAGUCUGUCCAGAGAGGACCCUGCCAGUGGCUGCCUGGGGUGCCUGCAUGUGGAGGCAAAGGCACUAACCAUGUCUGUGAUGGGGUAAGGGAGGAGGGCAUUCUUCUCCAGUUCUGAGUCAUAAGCCAGUUUAUUGAGAGUCCAGAAAAUUUCCUUUUGGGGUCUGAAAUAUUUUUAAAAUACACUUAGCGGGAUUAUCUGGUUAGAGGGAGCAGAAGGGAAUUUGUUGGAAUGAUUGUUGUGUCAUGGAAUAUGUGGGGAAACUGGAAACUGGAAUCCUUCCCUAAAUAAGACACCUCUCUCUCUGCAUUACUCUUCUUCUGUCUCAUUGUUUUGGGGCUGUGCUUUAUUUUUCUCUCUCCUUGCAGCCUGCCUUGACAGUGAGUCUGCACGUGGUCCUUUGUGACUGUCCCCAAGGGUCAUGCUUGGUCUCUCAGACUUUGCAGAUGAGAAUUCUGUCUUGCAUUGUUUCAUUCUUAUGCUUAGUGCUUGUGUUUGGAGUUUUAAUGUUGUCAGUAGCUAAGAGACAAGCCAAGAAGGGGAGGGCAGUGAAGCAUGGUGGUGGUUAGAAGGGUGCUGGGCUUAUCUUCAGAGCCUUGGAAUGCAGCUGUAUCUCAGAAGGAGCAGAAGCAGAAAGUGCAGUCACUAGAGUGUUUCUUGUCUCUUUUAUUGCUGUGCAUGCAUUUGCCAGGUCUCUGCAGACACCUGCUUCUUUGGCCCUGAGCUGCUGACCUUGAGUUCUGAGUAGACCUGUGGUGUCCUUCUCCUUGAGUGAAAUUACAUCUUACCUGGAGGCUAGGUUUGGAAGUCGGCAUGUCAGUGGCACCAGAAGCCAUAUGCAUCCAGGAGAAACCAUGCUUGGGUGUGAAUUGUGGGCGAAUGAGGAUGAGUCUGCUCUGGGAUCCUCUCCUGAGAUGGGCCUAGGCUGGGCUGCCUGUCCCUAGGCAAGAACAAAGAUCAUUUUAGGGGCAGGUAUGAGGCCUUUGUAAAGCCCUGGAUCUUGCCUCUGAUGCACCACUGGGAGGCAAUAUAGCACAGUGUGAACUAAGUUCAACUCCUGCUUCCUCCACUUCAUUGCUGUGUCUUCAGCAGGUGACUUAACAUCUCUGAGCCGCAAAUUCUUCCUUUGCAAAAGAGACAUACCUACAUCAGAGCACUGUCAUGAGAAGCCCAGUGAGGAAUUAUGGCAAAGACUGAAUGCUGUAUUGGCACGAAGGAAAUGUUGGAGAAACGGCAGCUAUUACUGUCAUCAUUGUGGCUGGCAGAUCCCCCUACUCCUACCUGAGGCUUAGGGCAGUAUUGUUAAGACUAAUUUAGUUCCCAGAAAAGAUGUGUUAAUUGGAUUAUUACAUUUUUCCUGUGUUUACACUAUAUGUACAUGCAUGACUUUGAAAUCUACACAGUUAUAUACUUAUCCAUUGAAUUCUCUCUUUUAAAAAUGUGUAAGAAUUGCAUUUUUGAGUCAUUGAACUAUAAUGAAAUUGUUUUUUCACAGAAAGAAUGUUACAAGUAAUCAUCAUAUAGGCCACCAAAAUGGAGAAUAAUGUAGAAAUGGAAGUUAAGAGAAAACCAAAAGAGAGACCUAAUGUUAAUACGUGGCCAGAAUGCAUAUUUUUAUAGCCUGAUUAUUUAAAAAUACUGGCGUUUGCUUGUACUGUUUAGGGUUGGAUGAUACAAAUGAAGCUGUUUGGGAUUGGAAUAAAUAUUUUUUUGACUAAUGCUAUAACUUGUAGACUUGUAAUCAGGAGUGGCUUAUCAGCAGCUUUUCAAAAUGUGACAUUGUACAUGGAAUGCCCCCAUGGAGGAAAUUGAACGCUCUGUUAAUGCUUUUACAGUUGAAUUCCACACACAUGA
ensembl:lncRNA